rnacentral:rRNA from 1 species
AGAGAUUCCUCGAGUAACGGCGAGUGAAAGGGGAGAAGCUCAGCGUGUAGCCUCGGGGAUGCCCUCCAAGUGAGUGUGUUAAUCCUACGAUGGGAUGCCACGUAUGGGAGAAUACUAGAAGAGUCCGCGACCCGGCAAUCCGAACUGUUUGAUGAAACAUUGCCCAGAGAGGGUGUUAGGCCCGUAGGACCGUAGAGUCGUGACUUUUCGCGGUAUUCUCUCGAGAGUCGGGUUGUUUGAGAAUACAGCCUUAAGAGGUGGGAAACUCCAUCUAAAGCUAAAUAUUACUGCGAGACCGAUAGCGAACAAGUACCGUGAGGGAAAGUUGAAAAGGACUCUGAAGAGAGGGUUCAAGAGAGCGUGAAACUGCCACGGGGAUAAAGCGGAUACAUUAGCGUAGUCGAAAAGGGAGAUACAGCUCGUUCGCCGUCGACCUCCUCGGCAUCUGUCGGAUCCGAAUCAUCCCAGAUUUUUAAUCUGGUUCUUGGUUCUUUUCUCGUCGUUACCGGGGUAAGCGUACGUUCUCGAACGAGUCUAAUUCACACCUUAGUAGGCCGUCGCGACGGUUGAAAAGUUGUCUAAGGCUUGAAAGGUCAUGGGAACUCUUCGUACUGGUUUACUAGUUUAUUCUCGUUUACCGGUUUACGAAGGGGGACGCUUUCUCGAAUUUACUGGCAGACUUUUCGACCGGAGAAAUAGACGUUGCGUCGAGAGAGUUCUCUCUCUCGAGUGAACGUAAGUGCGGCGCUAUAGCGAACAAUUUAUCCGUCCCGUCUUGAAACACGGACCAAGGAGUCUAACAUGUACGCGAGUCAAAGGGUCUACUAAACCCCCAGGCGUAAUGAAAGUAAAUGGAUUGAUCCGAGCUCCCUUUUCCGGGACCGGCGCAAAUCCGGGACCCGUCUUACUGCUUUCCCUCGGGGAAGUUCAUGUGGCGGGUACCUUGAGCGUACAUGUUGGUACCCGAAAGAUGGUGAUCUAUGCUUGGCCGGAAUGAAGCCAGAGGAAACUCUGGU